rnacentral:rRNA from 1 species
CUACGUAGGUGACAAGCGUUAUCCGGAUUUACUGGGCGUAAAGGGCGUGUAGGCGGUCUUGCAAGUCAGAAGUGAAAUUCCUGAGCUCAACUCGGGCGCUGCUUCUGAAACUGCAGGACUUGAGUGCUGGAGGGGAUAGCGGAAUUCCUAGUGGAGCGGUAAAAUGCGCAGAUAUUAGGAAGAACACCGGUGGCGAAGGCGGCUAUCUGGACAGUAACUGACGCUGAGGCGCGAAAGCGUGGGGAGCAAACAGGAUUAGAUCCCCUGGUAGUCCACGCCGUAAACGAUGAAUACUAGGUGUAGGGGGUAUCGACUCCCUCUGUGCCGCAGUUAACACAAUAAGUAGUCCGCCUGGGGAGUACGGCCGCAAGGUUGAAACUCAAAUGAAUUGACGGGG